AAUUAGACUUAAGGCUUCAGGCCAUGUAACAAUCAUCUGCAGCCAAGCUAAUAGAUCUGUAGCCAAGCAAGAAAAACCAGAAUUAUUCUUGUCAUUCUUUAGAAGAGAUGACUAGCAUUCAGAACACCUGCACAACAUGUAACAAACAUCUGCAGAACAAGCUAUGUAACAAGCAUCUGCAGAACACCUGAACAGCCAAACCAUCUGCAGAACACCUGAACAACCAAACAUUUAUACACUGCCAAGUUGCAAUUGUAACUAAGAUGCAGCAGCAACAUCAGGAACACCUGAACAGCCAAUUGCACUGUGCCAAUUAUAUUUACACACUGUCAAUGCCAAGAACACCUGAGCAGCCAAACCAUAAACACAAAUACACAACAUUCAACAAGUUUGAGGUCAUGCAGCAGCUAAAAGAUGCUAACAGUAACACUAGCAGUUCUUUUAAAAAAUGCUAACAGUAACACAAUAUUUAGUCCAUUAGCCCGCCGAUUAACAUAUAGUCAUAUAUCAGUCUGAAUAAAGUUGAAGAUUCCACCAAGUCUAAAGAAGAUUUUAACAAAAUAGAAAGAGAAAACAAAAUCUUUUUGUAAUCUUCUUCAUUUAUCUUUAUGCUGUCAAAUACAAAUUACAAUAUGAUCUAUCCAAAAUUAAUCAGAGUACUAUGUCCAUUGCUAAAGAACAGAGAGCAGCAGCAAAAAUUAGUACAGUUUCUAUCCAGUUAGCUCUAGUAAGAUACAAUUACUACAGUUUGUGCAACGGGCUACAUAAAUUAGGUUACAGAAUCAUUUUCCUGUAUCAGUUACUUCAAUCAAUAUCUAUACACAGCUGCCAACGCUUACUGCUAAAGAAAUUUCACGAAACAACUAUCUUCAUUCUCUGUUCUACUGAUAUACCUUAUAGGAUUUUCAUAUGUCAACCUACUUUAUACCUAAUCAAACACUUGAUCCAAAAAAAUGAGUUUCGAAUAUAAAAUUAAUCUUCGCUAAAGAACAUCGCUAGAAAUCUUCAUCAAAUUCAUUUCCAUCGCUAGAAAGUAGAAAUCGCUAGAAAGUAGAAACAUACCUUUGAAAAUUGAAACUAUCGCAAGUUCGCAACAGCAACAUCUUCGUUUGCCCGAAAUUUGUGAGGACUGAGGAAUGAGGAGUCGGAGCUCGGAAGUCGAAAAUCGCCAGGAAGUCGGAAAUCGCCAAAUCGCCGCUCAACUGUAUUGUAAUCUAAAUUGCUAAAUGCUAAUGCCCUAACCACUAACCAGUAACCAGCUAACCUUUAGAGUUUAGGCUUGGGUUUGGGCAUAAGAAUUAAGAUGGGCUUGGGCAUAAGAAUUAAGAGGGCGAUGGGCUGGGUGGGCAGUAAUAACUAAGAAAAUAUCUUUUAAAAAUUGGAUAUUCGGUAUUUCGGUAUACCGAAAUUUCAGAAUUUUAAUACCGAAGACCGUACCAAAAUGCCGAAAUUGCAAUACCGAAUUGGACCAAAAUACCGAAAAAAACCGAAACUAAAAUACCGAAUUAAUUCGGUCCGGUUCAGAAUUCGGUUUUUCGGAUUUUAUGCCCACCCCUGUUGCUUUCUUGUCUCUUUCUUGCUUCAUUCCGAAUUCCCAUGUUAGGGCCCAAGUUUGCUGAACUGUGCUAAGUGUUUUGCAUUGACUAUAUGUCUUGCUACACGCAAACGUUUUUAAUGAACAUGUUAGGGAAUUAAGUUCUAUUAUAUUGUUUUCUCUACCGUGUGACACGCUAGUGUAUGUUGAUCAUAUAUAGCAUGGACGUAAUAUAGUUUUAUUCAAUUUUGUCACUUUCUAUGUAUUCUACGUACUGUUACUACGUACGUGAUUUUGUAUGGAUUUAUUAAUACUCCAUGUGUACUUC
rnacentral:lncRNA from 1 species